rnacentral:rRNA from 1 species
UGGGGAAUUUUGGACAAUGGGCGAAAGCCUGAUCCAGCAAUGCCGCGUGUGUGAAGAAGGCCUUCGGGUUGUAAAGCACUUUUGUCCGGAAAGAAAUCCUUGGCUCUAAUACAGUCGGGGGAUGACGGUACCGGAAGAAUAAGCACCGGCUAACUACGUGCCAGCAGCCGCGGUAAUACGUAGGGCGCAAGCGUUAAUCGGAAUUACUGGGCGUAAAGCGUGCGCAGGCGGUUUGCUAAGACCGAUGUGAAAUCCCCGGGCUCAACCUGGGAACUGCAUUGGUGACUGGCAGGCUAGAGUAUGGCAGAGGGGGGUAGAAUUCCACGUGUAGCAGUGAAAUGCGUAGAGAUGUGGAGGAAUACCGAUGGCGAAGGCAGCCCCCUGGGCCAAUACUGACGCUCAUGCACGAAAGCGUGGGGAGCAAACAGGAUUAGAUACCCUGGUAGUCCACGCCCUAAACGAUGUCAACUAGUUGUUGGGGAUUCAUUCCUUAGUAACGUAGCUAACGCGUGAAGUUGACCGCCUGGGGAGUACGGUCGCAAGAUUAAAACUUAAAGGAAUUGACGGAGUCAUAGCUGUUUCCU